GGAGGAAUAUUGGUCAAUGGGCGAGAGCCUGAACCAGCCAAGUCGCGUGAAGGAUGAAGGUUUUAUGAAUUGUAAACUUCUUUUGCAGGGGAAUAAAGUGCGGUACGUGUACCGUUUUGUAUGUACUCUGCGAAUAAGGAUCGGCUAACUCCGUGCCAGCAGCCGCGGUAAUACGGAGGAUCCAAGCGUUAUCCGGAUUUAUUGGGUUUAAAGGGUGCGCAGGCGGGUUGAUAAGUCAGCGGUGAAAGUU
rnacentral:rRNA from 1 species